GAAACGCGAUAGUUAAUGUGAAUUGCAGAAUUCAGUGAAUCAUCGAGUCUUUGAACGCACAUUGCACCCAUAGGUAUUCCUUUGGGCAUGUCUGUUUGAGCGUCAUUACAACCCUCAGCUAACCGCUGGUUUUGAACCUAACGGGUGACACCGCGCCGGUUUUAAAGUUGUAAGCUCUGCUGGCCGCUCUGCCCAACCAGAACAUAGUAAGCACUACUUGUCCGGGUGAAGCUGAACGGUACGGCCUGAACAAAACCUACCCACUCUCAAGGUUUGACCUCAGAUCAGACAAGGAUACCCGCUGAACUUAAGC
rnacentral:misc_RNA from 1 species